UUUACUCAUUGUAGUGUAUAUAUUACUUUGCUUGAUGGUAAACAGCUAUUGUUUGUAGGUCGUAGCUGUAGAAGCCUCCUCUGAGCCAUUCUGCUUACGUUUUAUGACACGGCUUACUUGGAAGUGUGGGCCUGAGUUUUGCGCCAAGCUACGUGAACUGAAGUGCUGCUGCUUUGCUGUGAUGCUUUGCUUUGUUUGAUCUUAUUUUUACUGUCUGUUCUGGCUGCGAAGUUUCUUUGCUGCUGCCAGCCUUUAAAGUGGACGUCGGCGUGAACAACGGCCAUAUGCAUGCCACGCGGGUCGGCUGGCGCGCAUACUGAUUGACUGACUGGAUAAUUAACUUAUAGCCGUGCAGACGGCAGGUUGGAGCAAUACGGCGAUUCCGUUUGCUCCAUAUUUUAGAGUUUUAUCCAGAUUGUAUGUUGUUUUCCUGUUGUUUGAUUUGUAGUUUGGAUUUUUGUUACGCCACUGGUGGGAGGCCCUUUUUCUAGCUGUAGAUCACCAGUGUGGUCCUGCAGUUGGGUUAUCCCCCAGCGUUAUACAUUAGUUUGUUGUGAUAUAUUAAAAUUUUCUUUGUUUCUUUUAUUCAGAUGCGGAGCGCCGACGUGGAGGAGACUAGGGUGCCUUGGUGGUGGGAUCCUUUGCGUGUACACACCUGCCUUGUUUAGUUUAUUAGUGUGAGUGUGUGAUAGUGUGCUGCACUUGUGUCUUGGUGUGUUUUCUUUUGAGUUUGUGUGUGGCAUCCCUGCCCCUCCACUGGAUAAAAGCAAAGCAGCAGCUACUUUGGUGUGGGAUUCCACAGCUGUGUUACAGAGAUGGAGGAAGAGUUACAGGAACUCAGGGACUUGAUCGCGCAGCUGAAAGCAGAUAAUGAGAGGCUGCGUCAGGAGAGGGCUGUUGGGUCAGAUGCGGAGCGCCGACGUGGAGGAGACUAGGGUGCCUUGGUGGUGGGAUCCUUUGCGUGUACACACCUGCCUUGUUUAGUUUAUUAGUG